rfam:Fusarium oxysporum f. sp. cubense tropical race 4 54006 unplaced genomic scaffold supercont1.9, whole genome shotgun sequence.
GAACCCUUGACUCACUCUGAAAUCUACCAUCAUGCCCCGUGGUUUAUUUCUAUUUUUGUGCAAGGAAGAGAAACCUUGGCCCAAUACUCACCGCGACAUACUAGCGAUAAAGCUCUUGUGGAUGUAGCGGUCCAUCAUCAUGGCCACAU